UUGAAUUGAAAAAAUAAUACUUAUUUUUCAUCUUAAAUAAAAUAAAAAAUAAUUUAAUAAAAAGAAACGCAUACAUAUAAAUUAUUGAUUAUAUAAAUCACACAUGUUUUUUCAUGGAAUAACUUAUAUAUAAAAGCUGUUUAUUCAAAGCUAUGUAUUCAUUCUUAUACACGUGUUUCGCAAAGAAUAGUAAUAGACUAAUAUACAUAAAAUAUAUAUUAUUUCAUUCACUUAUUUCACUUUAUCUAUUUAAAAUUUUUAUUUAUUAGAAAAAAUAAAAUUCUAAUUACUGAAAAAAAGAAAAAUGUAUUGUAUAUAUGCAUCAUUCAUUUUUCGCGUGAUAAUUAAGCAUGAGUAAAUUAAAUAACGUGAAAAUAAGAAUUUAAUUUAAUAUGAUCUAUAUUUGUUUAUCGCUCGAUCUAAAUUCAAAAAUCAACAAUAACUGCAAAAAUUGAUUACAUUUUAAGAUGAAAAAACCAUUUGCAAAUUUUUUUAACGCAAAAUUAUUAAAUUUCUUUACAUACUUUUUCUAUUAAAAAUAUUAAUAAUUCAAUAGGUUAGAAAAAAAUAUAUUAUGAUAAUAGAAAAUCAUGAUCAAGUAAUGGCUAAUCAUAAUCAAACUUAAUAAAAAUGAUUACAUGUAUAUAUUUUCCUGCAUAUUUAAAUAAUAUGCAAUCUUUCCUUAAUUAUAAUCAAAAUAUAUUUCGAUUUUAUAUAACUAAAAAAUUUUUUUUUGAAAACUUUUUAAUAUUUAUUAUUUUUCUUAAAUACAGAUUGAAAUUAUUAUAUAAAUUUAUAUUAACGAAAAAAGAUCUAUAUAUCGGUAUUAUAUUAAAAAUGAUAACCUUGACAUAACGACCUCAAAUAUAGCAUAGUUUAUAAUCAGCUUAAAAUUAUUAUGUAGUCUGUAAUAUAAUUUAAUUGAUUUUCAUAAAUGGGUCAAUGAUAAUUUUAUAAUAUCUCUAUGAAAUAAUUGCAUUCAAAUAUCAAAUCGAAACAAAUAAAUAACAUAAAUGAACAAAAAGACAAAAUUUAUUAAGUUUAAUGUUUUUUUUACACUAAUAAUUUAAUAUAAAACAUUUUUAAUUAGAAAUUUGGAAUGCAAUUGGUGUAUAUCGAUAUUCCAAUAAAUGAAUAUAUCUAUAAUUAAAUAGUUAUUUCUUGUUCUAUCGUGAUAGAUUUUAUACGCAUGUAGAAUAUACAAAAAGAUUAUGUGUCAUGAAUGCAAAAUUUAUUUAAUUCAUCAAAUAAUAAAUAAAUAUCUUUCUAAGAUCAUUCUUAAAAUCAAUGUAACAGAAAAAUGUUAUAUUGCGCUAUGCUUCUUUAUCGUUUCAUAAAAUAUAUUAUAAAAUAAAAACUUAUUUUCAUAUAUAUUUUUUAAUAUAAAAAACAUAUUAUAUGUUAAUUUUAUAUAUACAUAUAUAUAUAUAUAUAUAUAUAUAUAUAUAUAUAAUUCAUGUUUUUUUUUUAAUAUGAAUUUAAUUUAAUUAUUCUCUUUCACAAUUUUUAGUUUUCAUAAUCAGAAAAAUAUAAAAGAAUUAAAGAUAAUUGUAAAAGUGUUUACAAAUCUAAUCAUUAUAUUUUUUUCAAUCAGUAGGAUAGAGUUGAUAUAUAAAACAGUAGUAAGCAUUCAGCAUCAUUUCAUUGCGCAAGUAUACUUGUUACCGCGAGUUACCAGUUUAAAUCCUUUCAUAAAUCGAAAAAAAAGAAAAAUAUAAAUGACUGUAGAUGUUUGCAUAAAAGAUUUUCAUUUGAUUAUAUUUGAACAAAUAUAAAAUAAAAGUUAAAAGAAAAAGUUUAAUCAAUUUAUUCAAAAAGUGUGAAGUUUAAAAAUAAAAAAACAAGACAAUCAUAUAAAUAUAUAACAAAUAUUUAUUAAUUUUUAAAGUGAAGAAAUUGAAAUUAGCAAAAUGAAAAUUUUGUUUUUAUUUUUAUUGUUUAUCAUCACUGGUUAUGCAGCUCCUUGGUUUGAAAUUCUUUUUGGCAAACAAGAUUAUACUUAUCAACCAUUAAGUUACAAAAAUCAACAAUCAAAGCGUCGACAAGAAAAAAGAGGAGAAGAAAGAUGGAAAGAAAUUUGUAGAACGAUAAAUCCUGAUCCUUAUGCUUUUCCGGAUCGAGUACCUUAUCCUUCUGUACCAAUUUGUCCUUAAAUAAUUAAAUUAUUUAAUAAUUAUUUAAAUAUGCGUUAAAAAUAUGAAUUUAUUGUAACAAUAUCAGAGAAUAUACAAUGAUAUUCACUGGUUAUGAGUAUUUCAGUCAGUAUAUAAGUUUACUAUGUAAUCAAUAACAUAAAAGUACGCAGUCAUAUGUAUCUAUCAGUAUAAAUUAUGUAUCAAGGGAUAAAUUUGUUAAUAAUGCUUUUGUACAUUAAUAUAAUACGUUUUCCUUUGUA